GUGUGCUUGACCGGUGAGCGCGUUCCUAUAAAAUGUUGAGUCGUGUGCUUGACCGGUGAGCGCGUUCCUAUAAAACGUUGAGUCGCAGACUAGAGAUGAUGCGCUAUUUGAAAGGCUGGAGUAGCGUAACGACUCUGGGUUUAUAAACGCUGAUAUAGAGGAUGCUUUUGUGGCACAGUCGACAGAGCGUUGGACAGAGGGUUGAGGGUUCGAGACCUGCUCCCUACCUGGUUCAUUAUAUUUUAUUUGCGGAGGGAGAUGAAAUCUAGACGCUUGAUAUCAGAUGUAAUUAUUUAAAGAAUACACCCCAAAAUAGUUUUAACCUUUUUUUCCCGACAGUAUUACUCGUGUAACGAAAUUACACGUUAAAAAAAACAACAGAAUAAAAACACACAAAAGCAACCAAUGUACUUUUUGGAACAUCCCAAUUAGGUUCAGCAAAUGUAAGCUGGCGCGUGGCGUAUCGCUUUUGGCAAUCGGUUCAACGUUUUUUCGUGCACUUCAAGCGGGGAAAGUUUGCGCGGCAGUGUGUUUAAUUUAUUCUGUUUUAACGGUUUUAGAAAUGGAUAUCCAGAAACAGAGCAACGGAUGUCAGACUUCCGCAAGUUUGAAGCUGUCAAAUGGUUAUAUUUUACCUGAAGGUAAAAUGACUCCAAACACACUUUUUGUUGGAGGAAUCGACAUGAAGGUGGAUGAGAAUGAAAUCCGUGACUUCUUUGCGAGAUUUGGUGCCGUGAAGGAAGUGAAAAUCAUCACUUACCGUGGAGGUAUCUGCAAAGGUUAUGGAUUUGUUUACUUCAAUGAAGACGUUGACAUCCAAACCAUCAUUGAACAACAGAUCAGUUUUAAAGGGAGGAAACUCAAGCUGGGUCCAGCAAUCAUGAAGGAAAGGAGCUCACGUUCCAUGCCGUCUCACCUGGUUGAUCAGGCCCCCUGGAUAUCCCCCUCCCAGUACAUCUACUGCACCUGCUGCUCUCCUAUGGGCGGGGGCAUGGCUCAGCCUUCACCUGUACUCAAUGGCGGCAAUCCCUACUUCCAGCCUUACUCGUACAACGGCUUUCCAGGAGUCAUGAUUCCACAGAUGCCCAUGCGCUACUCGCAAACCAAUUACGCGUACCAGUACGCCUCACCACACUGGACUGGAGAGCAGAGGACACGGCUCAUCAACCAGCCGGCUCAUUAUGUGAUGUGAUGCCCCGUUUCCAGAACUUUGUGGACUGCGGAGUCCAGACUCUGCUGUAGUCCACAGCCCACUGACCCUCCUGCUGUACCAGGGGGCGACGUCUCCAUGCAGACUGGAGCACACGGUGACAUCCUGGCCUUUAGAGAGCUAGCAGCAAUAGACUUUAAAAAUAUACACUUUCAGGAUGCUUUCUCUCUACGACAUCUCUUGCUCACUUUGAGACCCGACCACGGCGGCUCGACACUUGCACCUGCACCCGAUGGGCGUGGUCACUGUGACCGUGUUUGCUUGGCUAGGACCAUGGUCCUGGCGUUUGGACCGCUUUCAACCCAUCUCAAACACUAACGCAGGGAAGAGCGGAAGUGAUUUUGGAGCUUCAGCUUGUUUACAGCACAGAGCAAUGCCUUUUUUACAUUUAUUUGUUAUUUUUUGGGGGGGGUGGGGGUUGGUUUUGAUAACCCCCAAAAAGAAAAUACUUUUAAGCUCAUCUGCAUAUUUUUAUAUUUUAUGUUUGACUAUAUUGAAAGUUUUUUAAUGUCAGUUUGUUUGGGUGUAAGCUUUUUGCUGGGCUUCUGUACAUAGAUUUGUAACACAACAAAUGACCCUUUUAAAGUAGUGUUGAUUUUGACUUCUAUUAUUAAUUCAAGUUUCCAUCCCCAUCUUCCUCUGAUUUAAGAAACUAAUGCAUCAAAUUAUUGUGGGCAGAAUUGGGCACAACACGGGCACAUUAUUUUUCAGGCACUCCUGUUGCCUUAGUGCUCUUUUUAUAUAAUUUCUUGACAGUUCUUGUCUUACGCUACUUAAAUCACCUUUUUAUUUCGAUUUACUUCAGUGAAUUAGAAGUGCCUGUCUGUUUUUUUUGUUGAGGGGUUAAUUGAAUUGAUGUUAGUGUAUUUACAAUUGGGAUGCACUGAUAUCAUCUUGAGUGUUGCUGUUUACAAAGUUAUGAAUCCUUUUAUUGUGGCCAAUGUUUCUUAGGUUGCGUACCAAAUGGCACCCUUGUCCU